rnacentral:rRNA from 1 species
UUGAACGCUGGCGGCAGGCCUAACACAUGCAAGUCGAACGGUAACAGGAAACAGCUUGCUGUUUCGCUGACGAGUGGCGGACGGGUGAGUAAUGUCUGGGAAACUGCCUGAUGGAGGGGGAUAACUACUGGAAACGGUAGCUAAUACCGCAUAACGUCGCAAGACCAAAGAGGGGGACCUUCGGGCCUCUUGCCAUCGGAUGUGCCCAGAUGGGAUUAGCUUGUUGGUGGGGUAACGGCUCACCAAGGCGACGAUCCCUAGCUGGUCUGAGAGGAUGACCAGCCACACUGGAACUGAGACACGGUCCAGACUCCUACGGGAGGCAGCAGUGGGGAAUAUUGCACAAUGGGCGCAAGCCUGAUGCAGCCAUGCCGCGUGUAUGAAGAAGGCCUUCGGGUUGUAAAGUACUUUCAGCGGGGAGGAAGGGAGUAAAGUUAAUACCUUUGCUCAUUGACGUUACCCGCAGAAGAAGCACCGGCUAACUCCGUGCCAGCAGCCGCGGUAAUACGGAGGGUGCAAGCGUUAAUCGGAAUUACUGGGCGUAAAGCGCACGCAGGCGGUUUGUUAAGUCAGAUGUGAAAUCCCCGGGCUCAACCUGGGAACUGCAUCUGAUACUGGCAAGCUUGAGUCUCGUAGAGGGGGGUAGAAUUCCAGGUGUAGCGGUGAAAUGCGUAGAGAUCUGGAGGAAUACCGGUGGCGAAGGCGGCCCCCUGGACGAAGACUGACGCUCAGGUGCGAAAGCGUGGGGAGCAAACAGGAUUAGAUACCCUGGUAGUCCACGCCGUAAACGAUGUCGACUUGGAGGUUGUGCCCUUGAGGCGUGGCUUCCGGAGCUAACGCGUUAAGUCGACCGCCUGGGGAGUACGGCCGCAAGGUUAAAACUCAAAUGAAUUGACGGGGGCCCGCACAAGCGGUGGAGCAUGUGGUUUAAUUCGAUGCAACGCGAAGAACCUUACCUGGUCUUGACAUCCACGGAAGUUUUCAGAGAUGAGAAUGUGCCUUCGGGAACCGUGAGACAGGUGCUGCAUGGCUGUCGUCAGCUCGUGUUGUGAAAUGUUGGGUUAAGUCCCGCAACGAGCGCAACCCUUAUCCUUUGUUGCCAGCGGUCCGGCCGGGAACUCAAAGGAGACUGCCAGUGAUAAACUGGAGGAAGGUGGGGAUGACGUCAAGUCAUCAUGGCCCUUACGACCAGGGCUACACACGUGCUACAAUGGCGCAUACAAAGAGAAGCGACCUCGCGAGAGCAAGCGGACCUCAUAAAGUGCGUCGUAGUCCGGAUUGGAGUCUGCAACUCGACUCCAUGAAGUCGGAAUCGCUAGUAAUCGUGGAUCAGAAUGCCACGGUGAAUACGUUCCCGGGCCUUGUACACACCGCCCGUCACACCAUGGGAGUGGGUUGCAAAAGAAGUAGGUAGCUUAACCUUCGGGAGGGCGCUUACCACUUUGUGAUUCAUGACUGGGGUG